rnacentral:tRNA from 2 species
GGUUUCUUGGCGCAGUUGGUUAGCGCGUCUCCUUAACAAUUCUGAUUCUGAUCCAUCAGAUCGUUAGGGCUUACGGAGGAGGUCGCCGGUUCGAACCCGGCAGAAAUCA